rnacentral:rRNA from 1 species
CAGCCGCCGCGGGAAUACCGAGGGUGCGAGCGUUAAUCGGAUUUACUGGGCGUAAAGCGUGCGUAGGCGGCUAAUUGAGUCGGAUGUGAAAUCCCCGAGCUUAACUUGGGAAUUGCAUUCGAUACUGGUUAGCUAGAGUGUGGGAGAGGAUGGUAGAAUUCCAGGUGUAGCGGUGAAAUGCGUAGAGAUCUGGAGGAAUACCGAUGGCGAAGGCAGCCAUCUGGCCUAACACUGACGCUGAGGUACGAAAGCAUGGGGAGCAAACAGGAUUAGAGACCCCAGUAGUCCCUGUCUCUUAUAC